UAGGAUGAGGGUCAGGGGUGGAGAAAGGACAAAAAGGCUUGGGGUUUGAGGUUAAUAUGAUGGCCGAUGAGGUCUCCAUAGGAAUUGGAUCAGUAUUUGUACCAGAGAGGGGAACGACAGGGCGGAGAGGUGAUUUUUGGCCAUCCACUAGCGAGAUGGGCACUGCCUUUGAGGGAGUGGACUGGGGCAAAGAGGCAACUUUAGAAUUACUUGCCUCAUGAUCCAUAGGCUGACUUGAGCUUGCAACUGGCUGGUACUUUUUGGUGAUUUUUUCAGAAUUUUUGUUGCCCUUUUUUGCAGUAGCAGGCGGUUCAGC
rnacentral:lncRNA from 1 species